UACGAGGGGGGCAAAUGUUGUUCGGAAUCACUGGGCGUAAAGGGAGCGUAGGCGGGUUUUAAGUCAGGUGUUUAAUCCCGGGGCCCAACCCCGGACAGGCACUUGAAACUGGGAAUCUUGAAUAGUGGAGAGGUCGGUGGAAUUGGAGGUGUAGCGGUGGAAUGCGUAGAGAUCUCCAAGAACACCCGUUGCGAAGGCGGCCGACUGGACACAUAUUGACGCUGAGGCUCGAAAGCAUGGGGAGCAAACAGG
rnacentral:rRNA from 1 species